rnacentral:tRNA from 1 species
GCGCCCAUAGCUCAACUGGAUAGAGCGUUGGACUUCGGAUCCAAAGGUUGAGGGUUCGACCCCUUCUGGGCGCGCCA